rnacentral:lncRNA from 1 species
UGAGCUGGCUGAUGUAAUGUUGCAGCUUAUUGGAAACACAUGCAGAUAUUUUUAUUUUUAUUUUCCCCCAGUAGAUUAAAGAGGUAGCGAUUUCUCUGUAGAAGCUGAGAUGUGUUUUUACUAUGUAGACCCAUGUUAGAGCUUUCUCUUCAACAUUUAUGAAAUGGACAUGUGGAGUAAAGAUACAGUUUGAGGUGCCACAUUAAGGAGUAAGAACAAAAAAGUGCACACUUCCGUGGGUUCUUAACUGGAAUGUAGUAUAAUGUUAUCCAGAAUUUUCUCAACUGGACAUGAAUCCCAUCUUAUCACUUACGUAAAAUCAGGAACUUCUAUACUGAAGGCGCAUCACAUGUUGUGUAGAAGAAAUGAAGUGUGCCAAACUAACAGAAAAAAAUCCAGAUCAUCUGUGAUGUAUCUUGACUUCAGAAAUAUUCUAAGAAAUACAAAGCAGUAGCUAACACUGAAAUUUAAAUGAAACGAAUAGUCAGUUUAUGGUGCAUUAUUAGAUCGGUCAUGUAAUUGCAGACCAUAAGUAGCUUUCUAACUGCAAAAUUAAAAGUAAUUUGUAUGCAGCACGUCCUUUAUGGUAUUGUUUGUCAAAGAUGCAAACAUGAAAGUUUU